GACAGAGGGUGCAAACGUUGCUCGGAAUCACUGGGCGUAAAGGGCGCGUAGGCGGGAAUGUAAGUCGGGCGUGAAAUCCCUAGGCUCAACCUAGGAACUGCACUCGAACUGCGUUUCUUGAGUAUCGGAGAGGAAAGCGGAAUUCCUGGUGUAGAGGUGAAAUUCGUAGAUAUCGGGAGGAACACCGGUGGCGAAGGCGGCGAUCUGGGUCGAUACUGACGCGUGAGGUGGCGAAAGCGGUGG
rnacentral:rRNA from 1 species